AUUGAACGCUGGCGGCAGGCCUAACACAUGCAAGUCGAACGAGUGGCGGACGGGUGAGUAAUGUCUGGGAAACUGCCUGAUGGAGGGGGAUAACUACUGGAAACGGUAGCUAAUACCGCAUACCAUCGGAUGUGCCCAGAUGGGUAGAGCUUGUGGGUGGGGUAACGGCUCACCUAGGCGACGAUCCCUAGCUGGUCUGAGAGGAUGACCAGCCACACUGGGACUGAGACACGGUCCAGACUCCUACGGGAGGCAGCAGGGGGGAAUAUUGCACAAUGGGCGCAAGCCUGAUGCAGCCAUGCCGCGUGUAUGAAGAAGGCCUUCGGGUUGUAAAGUACUUUCAGCGGGGAGGCGUUACCCGCAGAAGAAGCACCGGCUAACUCCGUGCCAGCAGCCGCGGUAAUAC
rnacentral:rRNA from 1 species